GACGAACGCUGGCGGCGUGCUUAACACAUGCAAGUCGAACGGAAAGGCCCUGCUUUUGUUGGGUUCUCGAUUGGCGAACGGGUGAGUAACACGUGAGUAACCUGCCCUUGACUUUGGGAUAACUUCAGGAAACUGGGGCUAAUACCUGAUAGGAUCUCCUGCUGCAUGUUGGGGGUUGGAAAGUUUCGGCGGUUGGGGCUGGACUCGCGGCUUAUCAGCUUGUUGGUGGGGUAGUGGCUUACCAAGGCUUUGACGGGUAGCCGGCAUGAGAGGGUGAACGGCGACAUUGGGACUGAGAUAAGGACCAGACUCCUACGGGAGGCAGAAGUGGGGAAUAUUGCACAAUGGGCGGAAGCCUGAUGCAGAAAAGCAGCGGGCGGGAUGACGGCCUUCGGGUUGUAAACCGAUUUCGAAUGUGACGAAGCGUGAGUGACGGUAAUGGGUAAAGAAGCACCGGCUAACUACGUG
rnacentral:rRNA from 1 species